rnacentral:rRNA from 1 species
UACGUAGGUGGCGAGCGUUAUCCGGAAUUAUUGGGCGUAAAGAGGGAGCAGGCGGCACUAAGGGUCUGUGGUGAAAGAUCGAAGCUUAACUUCGGUAAGCCAUGGAAACCGUAGAGCUAGGGUGUGUGAGAGGAUCGUGGAAUUCCAUGUGUAGCGGUGAAAUGCGUAGAUAUAUGGAGGAACACCAGUGGCGAAGGCGACGAUCUGGCGCAUAACUGACGCUCAGUCCCGAAAGCGUGGGGAGCAAAUAGG